rnacentral:rRNA from 1 species
CCUACGGGUGGCAGCAGUGAGGAAUAUUGGUCAAUGGACGAGAGUCUGAACCAGCCAAGUAGCGUGAAGGAUGACUGCCCUAUGGGUUGUAAACUUCUUUUAUAUGGGAAUAAAAUGUUCCACGUGUGGGAUUUUGUAUGUACCAUAUGAAUAAGGAUCGGCUAACUCCGUGCCAGCAGCCGCGGUAAUACGGAGGAUCCGAGCGUUAUCCGGAUUUAUUGGGUUUAAAGGGAGCGUAGGUGGAUUGUUAAGUCAGUUGUGAAAGUUUGCGGCUCGACCGUAAAAUUGCAGUUGAAACUGGAAGGCGUGAGUACAGUAGAGGCAGGCGGAAUACGUGGUGUAGCGGUGAAAUGCUUAGAGAUCACGAAGAACUCCGAGUGCGAAGGCAGCUCACUGGACUGCAACUGACACUGAGGCUCGAGAGUGUGAGUAUCAAACAGGAUUAGAUACCCUUGUAUC